UUGAAAAGAGAGUCAAAGAGUG
rnacentral:snRNA from 1 species